CUCAGAGAGGGUAAGGCUUCCCAUGGGGAGUCAACAAGUCUGGCAUAUCAAGAAUUUGAGGCAGGACCAAGCUCCUCCUGUAUGGAGGCUGAGCAAGGUAUUCCACCUUAGGGAAAGGGCUCCAAAAAGCCAGUUAAUGCACCAGGGAUAAAUCCUGGCCCCACUGCCAGGGGCCCCACAAACUGCCCAAGGCACACAACUGUCACCCACAUUCAGAGGCCCUAGUUCGGUCCUAUGAAGGUUCCCCAGCUGUCAGUCCAGGGUCCAUGAGCUCCCACUAGGUCGGGUCAGCUGUCUCUGUGGAUUUCCCCAUCCAGAUCUUGACCUCCCUUUCUUAUAUAGUCCCUUCUCUCUCUCUUCGACUGGACUCCAGGAGCUCAGCCUAGUGCUUCGCUGUGAAUUUCUGCAUCACGAUACCAUGAAAUUUGCAGACAAAUGGAUGGAACUAGAAAAAAAUUAUCCUGAGUGGGGUAACCCAGAAACACAGUAUGUACUCACUAGUGAGUGGAUAUUAGAUGCAAAGCGAAGGAUAACCAGGCUGCAAUCCAUAACUCAGAGAAGCUAGGUAACAAUGAGGAACCUAAGAGGGACAUGCAUGGAUUGCCCUAGGAAGAGCAAAGAGGUAAGAUCUCCUGGGUAAACUGGGGCAGGGGUGGGGGAGGGGGACACAGAGAGAGAACAAGGAAAGAGAUAUCUUGAUAGAAGGAGUCAUUAUGGGGUUAUGGAGAAACGUGAUGCUAGGGAAAUUCCCAGGAAUCCACAACAAUGACCCCAGCUAAGACUCUAAGCAAUAGUGAAGAGGGUGCCUGAACUGGCCUUCCCCUGUAAUCAGAUUGAUGACUACCCUAAUUGUCAUCAUAGAACCUUCACCCAGUAACUGAUGGAAGCAGAGGCAGAGAUCCACAACUUUCUGCUGUGUUAGGUACUAUGGUCAACAAGAAUAGGGCUGAGUACAGUGCAGUCAAAUCCAGAGAGAGAAAAAGGUCAUAGUCAUCUAAUUUUUGCUGUGGUACUUUUAAUUUUAUUAUUAAUUAUUGUCAAUCUUUUAUUGGACAUAAUUUAUAAAUUAAAUUUUAUCACAAUAUAUAUUGUGUUGGAGAUAAAAUGGCAUAUGUGAAGCUCAGCAUUGCCCACAGUUUCACUGGUGGGAGCUCACUGGACCCCUGUGGAGAGAGGGAGCUGACUAUACACUAUACUGUCUGCCUGUUUCACUGUUUAGCUCUGAAGAUUCAUGGUUGCUUUUUCCUCUGUCCAAAAAAACUAAUGUGUAGUAUCCCUCCUUGUAUUUAUCAUAUUCCUGAUAUAGGCUAUGAAAGUUUUUGAAUAAUUUGAUUAUGAUCCAGCCUCUAUCUAGAUCAGUGGUUCUCAACCUUCCUAAUGCUGUGACCCUUUAAUAGUAAUGUAAUUUUGCUACAGUAAUGAAUUAUAAUGUACACAUCUGAUAUGGAGCCCUCAAAGGGGUCGCAACCCACAGGUUGAGAAUCAUUGUACUAGAUGUAAGGAAAAUGGCCCCUUGGGGCACAUGCUUGUAGUCCCAGACACUUGGGAGGUGGAGGCAGAAGACUCUCUUGAGUUCAUGAGCUAAAGAUCAACAACACAGUAGUGAAACCUGUCCAAAAAAAAGAGGAAGCUAUAAGGGAGAAGCCCCCAUAUUUUGAGGCUCCUGAGCUUUCCUGUAGAUAUGUGAGAUAUGUUGUUUGAUGUUUUCCUAUUGCAUCUGGCCUAGAACUUCAUAAGUGGGUAGGGUGCCAUGUCACUAGAUGGGCAACAUGAAGUGGGAUGGACAGAGGGGCCAGAGCCUCAAACUGUGUUCAUAAGGGAAUGGAGGCAUGUAGCCAUGAAGGUGAUUUGAAAAGAAGUCAGCCUGCCAUAGAGUGUAGGGUGGGGAAGCAUUCUGCUCUAAAUCCCUGCUUCCCCAACCUCAUAGUACAUUUCCAGCUGCCCAUGAAGCUUUUAAGGAGCAGAGACCAGGAAGAUACAGUGAUGAUCACAUUCAUGCAUACAGUGAAGACGCUGCCUUAGCAAAAUCAGUGCCCAGAAAAGGCCUGAAAAGAAGGAGUAGUGAUGGUGUAAGGGUACUGAUCAGAAAUAGACAGUUUAUUACAUUUAUUAGUGAGCUGGCAGAGCAGCUGAGGGUGGGAGCAGGGCUAGAAGAAAUUAAUGUUUUAUUUUUUAGUUAUUGUAUGUGUUAGGAAUCUAACCUAGAGCUGUGUGCAUGCUAAACAUACCCUGUACUAUUGAAUUAUUCUCUUAUUUCCAAAAGUAUACCCUAGACCCUUGCUUAUACGUUAAGAACCUUCAGGUUGAGUUGGGCUCUUUAUUAAAGCCUGGUGGAGGAGACUUUUCCCCCACUUACCUGGUGACCCAGGAAAUCCCUUGCUCUGUGUAGCCUUAGGAGAAGUCGAUAGAGAGAAUGACCCAGGGGUCUGUUCAUUUCCUGAUGCUGACUACAUUAGUGAGCUCUAGGCUCAGGCUCUUACCUAAAAAGACAGCCAACUGAACAAGUGUGGCCAAACUCCUCAGGACUCACCACCUGGUUGGCAUAAUUUUAUCAGUACUCAAUCACGAAAGGACCAAACCAAUUAAUGACAGAAUUCAGUUACGUGAUGGCCAAAAAUACUUUUUUGCAUCUAGGAGUUAAGCCUUCUCUGAACAAGUCACUAGAAAACAAGGUGACUCAAAUUGUCCCUAUGCAAAUGAAUUUCAAAGAAAGGAGCACAGCUAGAACCCAUCUUAAAAUUCCCAAUACAAAUGUAUUGUUGAGCAAGAUAGAUGUGAGCAGAUAUCACUGACAAGUUCAGCCAUGUCAAACCAACUUACUUUCUGUUUUGGGGCAUGGGAAGGGCAUUGUGUCCACGCCCCUUCUUCCUGGACUCUCCUUACCCCAUGUGAGCAUUUAAGGACUAGAAAGUCCAUUAUGCUCACAAUGAUUCAAUAUGGCUUAUCCAUGACUCAGAGUUGGAUUGCCCUGUCUUUGCCAACAUGCACAGCCAAGCAGGACUCAUUUUCUUUGCUUUCCUUUGAAGCUCUCAUGUCUUCUUUGAAAAGUCCUUUCAGCCCACCAAAUAUGCAUGUGAUACAUUCACUGAGCUGGGGUAUAUGGGUAAUUUGUGGUCAGAAAUGCUACUCAAGAAUACUUACUAAAGUGUAUGGGCUAUUAGCUUUAGGGACCUUAGCAAAUACUGUGCCAUUUCAAUGAGGAAACUUGGUACAGUUGGGUGGGUUGCCAGCUACAUCUUGAAAGGAUACACUAAGAACUCAGAAGUGACAUCUGCCAGGAAGUCCAUGGAAGUAAUUUUGCCUCCUUGAUGUUUCUUACACGUGUCAUCCUGAAUCACAGGUCUAAGGUUGGAAAGUACCUUAAAGAUUUGUGCCCUUUUCUGUCUGAACUUGUUGUUGUCUCUCCCAAAUCUUCCCAAGUCUUCCUUAACCCCAAUGAAACACCUGUGUGUGAGGAAUGUACUGCUUCCGUGGCCUUAGAAAUGCACGUUGACUAUAUAAGUACGUAGUAGUCGAAAUUCAGUUUUAUGUUAACGCUUUUCUAAUAUUUGAACACUUGUAUUUGCUUCAACGUCUCUUAGAUUCACCUUGGUCUUUGGGCUCUUCAUUGCCUGGACUCCUUUGUGAAGCUGUUUCUGCAGUGUUGUCUAAUAGAUUGCAUGAUGUCAUGCUUGGUCCUAUCAGCUCUAAGGAGAGCAACUCAAGACAUAACUGUUUUAGGACUAGGUAUUUCACCUGGACACCAUUGAUACUACAUUUUUUUCAAUAGCAGCAUUAAAUUGUUGAUUCUAAUUAAUUCACUAUAUUUUCAAACCUAUUCUCCAGUCUCAUUUACACUCAUUGCGUGGACUACAACACUACACACACACACACACACACACACACACACACACAUACACACACACACUUACAUAUCUAUGCCACUCAGUGAGUUUAGAUCUCACUCAAGUGCCCUCAAAAUUCUCAUGUCCAGUCUCAUUUAUUUGGUCACUUAAACUUGAACAAACCAGAGGAAUAUCAAAUUCUGCACUGUUUAAAUUUUCAUCACUGUUUGCUUUCCUUAAUCUUCUGUUCCCGAGUUUCUAGCUUUGCUCAGUGCCCGAUUCCUCCUUUUUGGAUGUUUUCAUUCUCACUAUCAGCACUAUUUCAAUUGGAAACCGCUCGCGUGCAUAUCACUUGUCUGGCUCACCAAUGAUUUUGGUAAGACUACCUUCUGGGUGUUCAUGAAAGGAAUGGACACAGAUGUUGAGAUGAUGAUAAGGUCAUGUCCUGAAAGAUAUUUGAAUGUGAUUGGAGAACUGGAGACACUGGGAAAGUGGCGGAUGGGAAGAGAGAAGUAAACCUGGGAACAGGCUCUGAGCCUCCUCAGAUGCCUUAACAGUGAAUUUGCAUGAUGUCUUUCGUUCACUCAUGAUGCUAGUGACUUAGGUAAAUGCACUAACUUUGAAUAUGUCGUAAAGUGUGUGUGUGUGUGUGUGUGUGUGUGUGUGUGUGUGUGUGUGUGUGUACAUGUAAGAUAGCUUUUCCUGCAGGAUUUCAUACUGUGUAGUAUGGCUUUUUCUUUUUCCUGAAGUAUUUGAAGUUGGUCUAAGCACUAUUAGAUGCCUGGCGCUUCCCAACUAGGAAGGAAACUACCACUGAAGCGAUUGCAAAACCUUUCAGAAGUUUUGAACAUAAUUAAGUGACCCUUCUAAAAUAUCUAAAUACUUAAUGUAUUUUCUCUUUUUUGAAUUCAAUCACUGACAUAAUUUUACUUGUGAACUAUUGCAAAUAAUUUUAUAAUAUGACUCCUAGUGAGAGCAGGGUAGAAUAUAAAUAAUUGAAUAAAUGACCUAAAGUCCUCGUAAUCACAUAUCUUACUACCCUGCAGGAAUGCAUAUCCAUUUUCCACGUGUAUCAUAGUUAAGAGUCAAUGUCCAUUAUAUUUUUAUUUCUCAUCUGUUCUGCAAAUCCAGACCCAUUGCCCUUCAAUGGAACCACUUCAGUAGUCCAACUCACCCUCAGGGUAUCCCAAAUAUGCUUCUCUGGUCUUGAGAUCUCCCAGAGGUACUGAGUGGAGUCUAUUUGAAGUGCAAAGCCUUUGGGGGAUAUGAAACAUCUUACUGGGAUUAGUUUUCCUGUUGGGUUUUAUUAGAUACUGUGGGUGGCUAGCCCCAGAGUGCUGUGGGAUGUUCUGUACAUUAAAUGUGUUACUCUGAUUGAUUAAUAAAUAAAACACUGAUUGGCCAGUAGCCAGGCAGAAAGUAUAGGCGGGACAAGGAGAGAGGAGAAUUCUGGGAAGUGGAAGGCUGAGGCAGAGAGACGCUGCCAGCCGCUGCCAUGAAAAGCGAGAUGUAAGGUGCCGGUAAGCCACGAGCCAUGUGGCAACGUAUAGACUAAUAGAUAUGGGUUAAUUUAAGAUAUAAGAACUCGAUAACAAGAAGUCUGCUGUGGCCAUACAGUUUGUGAGCAAUAUAAGUCUCUAUGUGUUUUACUCGGUUGGGUCUGAGCAGCUGCGGGACUGGCAGGUGAGAGAGAUUUGUCCUGACCGUGGGCCAGGCAGGACUAGAGAAAACUCUAGCUGCACCAGAACCUCUGAGAGGCACCUGUUUCCAAAUCCCUUGAUGGUGUUAAGGUCCUUCCACCACUGCAGACAGAAAGUCCUCCCCCUCCUUUUGGGUGAUGUGGUUUGCUUUGUGGCUUCCACAAUACCCACCUAGAAUGUAGAAGAAGCAUCUCUAGGUGGAGCAAUCUUUGAUAAGUGUGAAGGAAACCAUCAGAUAAAUCCCCUCCCACCUCCCAUUCACCCAUUCAGUGGGCUAUUCAGCAAUGUAACCAUCCCUAUAUGCCCUUUUAAAAGGCUUCCUGCUCAACUAGGCAAUCAGUUCUGAUGGCAAAGUCUAGCCUGACUCAGCAAUACCUCUCAUGUGUGCAGCCUUUCCUGACUGGCCCAUUCUCCUUUGCUCUGCUCCAUGCUCCUCUGGGUUUAUACCACUCAAUAAUCUGUUAGCACGAGAGCAUUUGCCUCAGAUUCUGAUUCCUACAAACUCUAGACAAUUUCCACGAAGGUUACAUAAAGCAUCACUUCUCAAGAGUGCUGAAUGCUUACAGUGGCCUCUUAGAGAUGCACACGCUGAACCCAUGAAGUAAAAAGCCAGUCUCCUCCAUACUUAGGGACCCCUCAGUGGAAGUAUAAAAAUGGAAGCACGUGUUUCUCAGCACCACAUUUAUUCUUGAAUGUCAGUCAGCAUAGCAGGCUUUCUUUGUCCUCCUUCUCCUCUUUUGUGGAGGAGAUGGAUCUACAGUUUAUCAGUAACAUUCUUUGCUCAAUUUUUGUCUUCCGACUCAUGUCUCUGAUAUGUGGCAUUGAGUCGAGACUGUAGAAGUCAUAUAGUGAAUUAAAUCAAUUCAUGAGUCAAUAAAUGAAUGAAUGGAGUACCUCUCAUUUUUUCUAUCAAAAUUAAUAGAUUUUGAGUAAUUAAAAGUGAGAAUGGUUGUGAUAAACCUGCCAAGUCACGCAAAGUUUUAAAGGGAAUUUCCAUUCUAAAAUGUCUUACAAUUUGCCAAAUAUUUAACUUUCAAUUAUUAUUGUAUAACUGCCAAAAUAGAGAGCUUAGACAAGCAAUGCUCGUUUAUGCAUCUAACAAACUAUUGUUAAGCUCCUGGAAUGUGACUGUAAUCUUAGAGCCCUCACAGGAAAUACUGCAGUGAACCGAUUAGCCAAACCUUCCUGUGUUUGGGGGAUUGCAUUCUAUGCCAUGUCUCUCUGUUUCAAUGCUAGCUGUUACCCAGGUUUUAGAACAAAUGAUUGCAUAUUAUGAUGGUUAAGCUCUACUGUCCACCAGAUGAGAUCUAAAAUUACCUGGGAGAAGAACCUCUAGGCAUGCCUGGGUGGGGGAUUACCUUAAUUUGGUGAAGUGAGGUGAGAAGAUCUGCCCACUGUGGUUGACACCAUUCCCUAGAGAUUCUGAAGCUGAACACAAGUAUUCAUUGCGCUCUGUUCCUGCACUGUGGAUGUAUUGUGGCCAGCUGCUUCAGACUCAGGCAUUGUGACUUCCUUGCCAUGAUGGAUUGGAACCUCUUAACUAUGAGCCAGAAUAAAUCUUUCCUCCUCUUAAUUGCUUUUGUCAGGGUAUUUUACCACAGAGACAGGACAAGUUACUAAGACAAAUGUAAUAUCAAAUAAACACCUACAUGUAAAACUUCCAUAGUUUUAAAGAUAGUACCAAGUAUGUAGUCUGUACUCAAUAAAUAUUGGUAGUAAUUACCAUCAUUAUUGAUUUUUAAAUUAUUGUUAUCAAUGGCAAAGCAGGCUGGGGAAUACUACCUGAAAAAACAUACUCCACAUGAGGAUAAUGCAGGCCCGACCACAUGACCACCCUUCCAAUGCAGGCAGUACUUGCUGUGGUCUUAAGAGGCAUCAGCAUCAUGUCAUGGGUCAUGCUGCUUUCCUUAUUCCCAAACUGCUUAGGCAUGAGGACCCUGGAGUCUGCUAUCCUGAUGUUGACUCUAUAUAAAAAUGAAAACCAAACUCUACUUCCCUGUAGAGUACUGCCUCUUUGUUGCCUGUCCUUAGUAACUCUUGGGGUUUGCUAUUACUAGGUAUUGAACUUUGGAAGGUCAAUAAGCACAUGUUAAUAGAAAGAAAAACGUUAGUUACAGAUUACAAGGUCAGAACUGGGUAAAGACACAGUACAUUUCCUUGGUACAGCCAAUAGUUCACUCAUCCAUGGCCUCACCACCUGAACUCCCACAGAAGAAGGAUCGUUAAUGAGCCUAUACAGCUACAUAAUUAAACAACUAUUUCAUGUCUAUGAUAUAGGAUGCCUGUUUAUAAAAAUAACCAAUAUCAAUAUAUAUUAAAUAAACAUGCAAAGCUGAUUCUUUCUUUAAAGAAUAUCUAUAAGAUAUAAAACUAAAUUUUGAUUUGCAUUCAUAUAAAAUAGUUGAUUCAAAAUAUAAGCAAUGCCAUGUUUUCCAUGUGUAGACAUUAUAAUAGACACAAAUCUAAAGAUUAUGAUAUUUUAUGGACUAUUAUCUUUUCUGUCUCCAUAGCCUGGAAAUCACCACUUUUAGAUGCCAAUCUUGGGAUAAAAAUAUGGACACAGACUAAUCAUCCCUCUUUUGGCCUGUUCUUUGCUUCUCAAGGCUGCCAUGGAAAUUAAGUCAGAGCAUGCUCACUGCAUUUAGGAGUCUGAGAUCGGGUUGUACCCUGCCCUAAGUUACUUUCAUAUUACAUAAAGUUUUUGUUUUUAGGCUAUACUUUGUCUUCAGAGCCUCAAUUUUCCAAAUGGCAUUUGACUCCACCCUGAGGACAGAGGAUAACUCCCUCCCCUGAGCUGGAUACAUGAAUAGCACCUUCUGUCCUGAAAGCUCAUAGGAGACACAGACUGAUAAGCAACUUAUUCAUAAGUACACAAGGUAAAUUGGGACCAUGUGAGUAAAUGAGUGUAUUAUAAUCACUAGAUUAAAAAAAAGCAGGCCAGAGAGCUUGUCAAUCAAGGAAUGAGUAUAAUGCCUUCACCUGGACGCCAUAGAAAUGGACAUCUAACAGUACCAUGGCAAAGGCCCCGGGGAAAUGCCAUCCGACCACCCAGCUUCUGACUUCUGCCUCCCAGGAAGGCCUCUUUGGAACUCCUGGGACCUCUGAGUGUUAGUGUUAAUAGGUAGGUUUGGAGUGAGAGAACCUGUAUUUGCUUUGGUUGGCUCCCAUAGGAAAUUGGGACUACUUGGCACACCACUGCCCCAAAAUCUGACAUAGUUUAUGAAUUUGCAAUUAUUCAGUAAAUUCUGACAUUAUGGAAAGACACACAUGCAUCUAUUAUGUUUCUGGCAGUGUGCUCAUUACAGGGAAAUUAGCAACAUUCAUCGAAUUGCUCUUUACUAAAGAAAACCUAUAUUUCUCCUCAUAAAUAGUGUAUGCAUUGUGAAGGAUUCAUCGUUUUAUCAGCAGUCUUGGGUGGGCAGAGUUCUAUGUAUUGCUCAGGUCAAAUGAAAAUUUGCUCAGGUCCCAUAAAAAAUGAGCAAGUAUUUAGUUCAGCUAAGACAUUCAACAGGGCCACAUUGUUCUUGUAGCCUGAUGGACUUAUAGCCUGAUUUCCGCCCUAUUGUGCUACGGCAAAGCCAUUGCGGGAAAGAACCAUCCUGGACUUGCAAUACUCAAGAUGAGUAAACUACAGCUUGGAAACCUGGUCACUGAGGUGUUUAAUUUUGUCUUUUGAAGUUGUGACUUAGACGGUUGGGUGCAUGGCACAUACAACUGACACAAAAUGGUGCCAAUGAGUCAGGAUGUCUUUCUUGGCAUGUCAAGUGGUUGAGAAUGGACAAAACGGCCCGAGUUAUGCUUUAGGGCUCUAUAUGUGUCCCACCCGUCAUUCCUUCUUCAGUGGCAUUCAGUAGGAUAGAUGCUUAGCUUUAGGAAAACGGACUAUUAUUUGAAAUGGUGAGGCCUAGGAAGCUUUUAUUUGAGAAUAUUUUUUGUUUUGUUUUGUUUUUUUAAGACAGGGUUUCUCUGUGUAGUUUUGGAACUGUCCUGGAACUCAUUCUGUAGACCAGGCCUUGAAUUCAAAGAUCCACCUGCCUCUGCCUCCAGAGUGCUGGGAUUAAAGGCGUGCACCACCACCGCCCAGCGAGAGUAUUUUUUUAUGAUCAAUUACUUUUGUUUCUGAUUACAUUUGAGAAAACUUAUCAUCAACUACAUCAUUAUGAUGCCAUUGCCUUUAGAUGGAGAAACAUCAGCACAAUUUAUGGUAAUAAGCUGCUUUUCAUCUAAUAAUAUUCACAAUUAAUUUUUAGCUUCUUUCCCUCAGACCUCAUCACUGUACAGGAUGGAUUAGUAUUUGAAGCCAGUGAGGACAAUGUCACACAGUGCUGAGUGGUGUCUGUUGGUCUGAAGCAGAUACCCACUUCUCCAUUUAUUUAUUCAAUUCAUUCCUUUUCUUAUUUUGUUUUAGCUACUUGUUCAGGAGAUCUACCCUCUUCACACAUUUAAAAAAGAUUUUAUUUGCCUUCAUUUUAUGCAGAUGAGGGGUUUGCCUGCAUAUAUGUCUGUCUACCACUUGUGUGUCUAGUGCCCAUGGGGUCUAGAAGAUGGCAUUGAAUUCCCUGGAACUGGAGUUGCAGACAGUUGUUAGUUGCCAUGUAAGUGCUGGGAACCAAACCUGGGUCUUCUUCAAGAGGAGUAACUUAACUGAUGAGCCGUAUCUUCAACCUCUCAAUACCUUUAAAAUGUUUUUUUAAUGUUCAUAGAUGUAUAUAAUGUAUUUGGAUCAAAUCCACCCCACUCACUCCGGUUCCUUCCUAUAUCACCCAAUACUUUCCUCUCCUAAUUCCAUGUUCUUUCUCUCCCUCCCUCCCUCCUCCCUUCUUCGAUAUAAUACUCACUGAGUCCAUUUAGGGUUGCCUGUAUGCAUAUGGAUGUAGAAACAUCUACUAGAGCAUAGCUAGCCCCACAAGGCCUGCAUCUCAGAAGAAAACUGACUCUUCUUCCCUCAGCAGCCAUCAACUGCCUAGCUUCUUAGCCAGGAGUGGAACUUCAUGCGCCCCUCCCCCUCCCCUGCUGGAGUUUUGGCUGACUUGAUCUUGUUCAGGGCUUGAGCAUGUGUGUAGCUAUACUGUCAGGUCAUGUCAUAUCCUGUCAUGUCACUGCAGACAUAUACUCCCCCUUGGCUCUUACAAUCUUUCUGCACCUUCUUCUCCGGUGAUUCCUGACCUUGCUGUGGUAUUGUGUUCCCUGAAAUAUUGUGCAUGCUAAUAGACUUAUCUGGGGUCAGAGACAGAACAACCACAAUAUUAAACAUAAAGGAUAGGCAGUGGUAGCACACGCCUUUAAUCCUAGCAUUCCAGAGGCAGAAAUUCAUAUGUUCAAGGAUGGUGAUUCAUGCCUUUAAUCCCAGAAAGUGAGCCUUUAAUCCCAGGGAGUGAUGGCAGAAAGCAGAAAGAUGUAUAAGGCGUGAGGACCAGAAACUAGAAGCAUUUGACUGGUUAAGCUUUCAGGCUUCUAGCAGCAGUUCAGCUGAGACCCAUUCUGGAUGAGGACUCAGAGGCCUCCAGUCUGAGGAAACAAGACCAGCUGAGGAUCUGGUGAAGUGAGGUGGUUCUGUCUCUCUGAUCUUCCAGUGUUCACCCCAAUAACUGGCUUCAGGUUUGAUUUUAUUAAUAAGAACUUUUAAGAUUCCUGCUACACCUUGCAUCCCUGAGCUUGCAAAUUUAAUUUUUCUCUUUAAUGCUUUUUUUUUUAAAGCAUUUGCUUUUCCAGGACUCUUUCUUCUUGCAUGACUGGAACUCUGUAGCCAUUGAUAGCAACUCCUCAAUCAUCCUCUCCCCAGCAACUGACAUUCUACUUUCUGCUGCUAUGAGUUUGAUUUAUUUGUUUGUUUACUCUUUCAAAACCAGUACCUUGCAUACAGUGUGCAAGCACUCUACUACCAUGCUACAUUCCCAGCUCAGUUUGGCUACUUUAGAUACCUUGUAUAAGUGGGAUCAUAGUAUUUAUUCUGCUUUCAUUUAUCUUAGGGUUCAUCCUCAGAGUUCCUCUCUGUAGUAUAUGACAGAAUGACUUUUCUUAAGGCUGAAGAGUAUUCCACUAUAUGCAUAUACAUCCUCAUCCAUAUACCUGUGGAAAUGAGGACACUUCCGUCUCUUGGCUGUUGUGAGUCAUGAUAUGAUAAACGUGGGGAUCAAGUAUGUUUCUGGAAUAUUAACUUCAGUUCCUUGGGAUGAAGGUCCAUCCAACAGCAGCAUUGCUCAGUUGCAUGCCAAUUCUGAUUUUUGAGACACUGUUUACAGCAGUGGCUCCAUUUCACAUUCCCAAUAGUGAAGGAGGGCCUCAGUUUGUCCAAGACAUAAAAACACUUUCCAUUUGCUGUUGUGAUAAUGGUAGUCCUCACAGGGGUGAGGUGAAGCCUCUGUGUAUUUUACUUAGCAUUUCUCUGAGGAUUAGAAAUGUCAAUCAUCUUUCAUUUGUGUAUGCUCUUUGAAGAAAUGUCUAUUCAAGUCCUUUGGCCCUUUCUAAAUUAGGUAAUUUCUAUUUUUGCUUUUGAGUUGAUAUGAGUUCUUUUUAAUGUUAAUCCCUUUGUGAGUAUUUUCAGUUUCUGUUAUACCAUGUGCUGUUUACAUGUAGUCUUUCUGGGCAAGGCUCUGCCUUGCCAAUAAAUGUCAGACUCUCUGAUACAUUCAAGUCUCUGCAUUUAUGGCAUGAGCCUCAUGUCUUAGAGGACAAUGCUAUUUUAAGUAUACAUAUUUUAUCAGGAAAAGCCAAACAUCAGCCACAAGGUACUCAUGUUUUUGUUGAUUCAAUUCCUAUCACUUUCUUUGGCUCAGAGCAAGAAUUGAGUAUGAUGUGAUACCAGACAUGGGAUCUAGUGGUCAGAGUGUUGCCAGGUGAGAGCAUGAGGCAUAGCUUCUGAGACAGGAUUUAUGUAGAAGUGCACCCCAGGGCCUCCCGAGUCAUGCUAAAUAGCGGGAAGAAGGAGAUGAAGGAAUGGGAUGGAAAGUUUCCGUGUCUGGGGAUGGAAAAGGCACCGGAGGUAAGAUUCUGUCCAUCUAUUUAGGGAAAGCAGUUGAGCCCUGUAAUCACGCCUGGGCAGCAUAGAUGCCUCUUUACAAGGUAGUGUGUGGAGAUCAGAUGCACAUCCAGCUAAUUCAUGAUGCAGCCACAUCAUCGGGGUCCAGGAGCAAGUGACUGCACUGUUUUGAGAAAUGGAAAUAUAUAGUGCUUCCCAAACUCUAGUCCUUGGCAAGAAAAUACCAAGUUGGUUUCUGUGCUACUUUAUGGCUCACUUUAUCAUUGAAUGGCUUGGGGAAGGGGGAGGCAGUCUAGAUAACCUUGCAAGCAAAUCCUUUAAGCCUUGAACCCUGCCUUUUCCUUUAUGAAAACCAAGAUAACCACAUGGACCAAAAGGCCAGGACUGGGACAAUCAUCCCCCGUCUGAGGAAUGUUAUGGACACGCUAUCUGUAGUUAUCCUAAUUAUUUUUCUUCUGCUAUCUCAACAUUGUGAAACUUCUCAUGGGGAAACUUAUUUCAAGUUUUACCAUUUUAAAAGAUACAUGUUAUGAAGUCCUUUGGACACAGACAAGGGAGUUGUGAAACUCAAACAGAGCGGCAGAUGUUGCUUCUCUGCUGGGGCCAAGAAUCAACAGGAGAAGAGGCCAAGGCUGCCAAGCAGCCCAAGGGGAUCCUGGGAAACGAGGCCUUUUCUUCUUUUCUCCCAGGGACAAUUGAGGGACUCCCAUGAAGAAGAAAAGAAGCCAAGCCAAAGAAGAUUUUUCCUAGCCAGACAAUAUGGAUAGAAAAUACUGUCGUAUUUCUGCAUUUCAUAAUUACGUUUAUCCUUAUUUAAUUCAAUCUCUAUUCAUAUAUACAUAAUGUAUAUAGGUACACACACACACACGCACGCACACACACACACACACACACACACACACACACACACACACACACACACGGAGUAUUGCCCAGUUGCCCAAAGAAGACAAUUAUCCCAGUGCUGUGGGAGGUGGUGGGAACCAGAACUACAGGGCUUGCUGGCUGGCUGUGGGCUCAACAAGAGACCCCAUCUCAGAGGAAUAAGACAGGGUACUGGACAUUAUCCUCUGGCUUUCUAUCAGCAUACACACAUGUGUGUAUACCACACACACAAAUACCACACUCAUACCAAAUAAUGUAAAUAAAGGGCCCAAACCCUGCAAAGAAAGGAUGCGACGAAUUUCAGUCCUUAGGAGACCAAGAAUGAGGAAAGGUGGAGAGAAAAACACUUUGCCACUGAUGUUUGUGACACUCCGUUGUUGACCCGUCAUGCCAUAUUGGUCACACCUUUAACGCACAAGCCUUCUUUUUCCUCGGUGGUAGAAUGUGAACAACCGGACUCAGGGAGCAGAGGGUCGGCGUGGAGAGUUCUCAGACACGUCGUAGUAAGAGAACAGUGAGAGAAGAGGAGGAAGGGAGAGAGGAGGAGCAGGGAGGAGAGGUGGAGAGAGGGAAAGAGGUAGCUAGGGACAGAAGAAGUAGAAGGAAGCAAGUACUGUUUACAGAGCCCUUUUGGAGAGUCAGGCCCUGGGAACCUCUGUGAGGCUGGGCUGAAAGUCGGGUCCUUCUUUCGCUAGCUGCCCCAGCUCACUCACUGGCUCAUUGUUUGAUAUUGGGGAAUCAUUUAAUCGGGGGAUGACUGUCACUGUGGGUGUAUACAGUCUGUACUCUUCUGUCCCUGGUCAGUGCUCUGGGUGAGACGACCUUGAGGUCCCCUUUGGCUCUAAUUUUCUAUGAUAAAGUUAUGUUCUCUGUGCUGGUGGUGCCUCUGGAAUAAAAAGAAAAGAGCAAAGCCUUGGGCUCCAGAAGGCUUCACAUGCUCGGAGAUUUGCAAUAGAAAGUUAAUGUUCACGGGUUAGGCUUGCUAGGAAAGGCGACUCCCCGUUUUCAUACUUCCUUUUCUGCAGAAGCUUUUAAUUUAGUAGAAUUACGUUGCUUUUUUGCUGCCCAACAGCUGUCAAACAUGGGUGGACUUUUUGAAAAUUCUUUAAUCAUCUAUUUUCUUACAUUCUCUGUCUAAAAGCGACCUUGUAAGAAUUGCUAGAAAUUUAAGCUUUUUCCUUUCAUUUGAUUUGGUUUUGGGGACCAAUAGCUAGAUAGAUACAGAUGUCGUUGUUCACAGUGAGCCAGACGCUGAGUACUUUCAGCAGGUGCGGGCUGUAAAAGCAAUCUUGUUUAAUUGUCUUGUGUAACAGUUGAAGAUGCUUGGGCUCAGAGAGGGAAUGUGUCUAAGGCAGGGUUACACAGGAAUGGACAAAGACCCCUGUAUUUUUCAAGCAUAUGUGUCUCUCACUUUCCAUUUCUCUCUUGGGAGAUGGAGCUAACUCCUCUACUCUUGAAUCUGUCUGCCUCAGAGAGUAACACUGGAAAACACCAAGUCUAAGCUGUGAGGGACUGGAAGUUUCUGCUUGUGUGUCUUGAGGUGUUAUCUUAGAGUUAGUCCCAAUGCUGUAUUGUAUGCUGUGAGAAGCCCAAACUGCAUGGGAAGGCUGCUGAGGAAGUAAGUCAAAUGUCUCUAGCAAGCUUCUGUCUCCUAGCCAACACCUAGUCCUGGCCCACAGAGGGAGUUUCAUGGCCAUCCAGCUCAAUUGCUCCUUCAGAAGACCCAAGCCCUGGUUAUUACAUAGGACCACACAACACCUCAGGAGAGAACUCACCUGGAGCCCAGUCACCCACAGAGCCAUGAAAGGUACUGAAUAGGUGUUUCAGGAUACGCGUGCUGUGCUGGUUUAGCCUGCAGCAGUAGGUAGCUGGAACAUCACCCUCCCCUUCUUGGGGUUUGAAGGGAUAACUUAAUUAGCAUAUGCAUUUCAGUAAUUGGGCAGAUUUGAAAGUGACAACUAUUCGUUUGAGUCUAACUGGAAGAAACAACUUAAUGUCAGGAUUUCUCAGAUUGUAACUUUUCAUUUUUCGCUUGUUCAGAAAAUGUGUGUCUUUUGUUGAUGGCUGCAAUGUUUAAAAGUGGACCAAUGAGUUAUGCAUAAGCAGAAAUGUGUAUGAUUGUCCAAAAGAUAGUCUGAAGUUGCAGAAUUAGCCAAGAUAUAAAACCUUUGUACCCCACUUCAUCUUCCAGAGUCGAUCUGGAUGUGAUGGGGAGAGUCGCAGCCAGUAGCUUGGAAAAUAAGGGGAUAUUGAUGGCAGAAGUUGCAGCAAAGGGGAUCUAACCAGGACAAAGGAAAACACGUUUUGUGCUUAGCAGUGAUUGAACUUAAAGUGGGGAACUGGAUACACAGACGCUGACAUUGCUUGGGAAGUCAGACUCAAUGACCGGAAAACUUAGAGGUCAGAACAGCUGGCAGCCAUGACCAGUGCCAAUGGAAAGAAGCAAUGAUGUCAAUCCUUUCCCAAAGCCAGGUGGCUGUGCAGCUCUCAGGCUCCUUGUCUUGUACAGCUGCCAGCCUGUGAGAGCUGCUGAGACCUUCCACUAGCCAGGAUUGCAGUCAUCCACAUGGAUGAUGGUGUCCAGCCUCUCUGUCACUCUCAUCCCGCAGACCGAAGACUCCUUACUGCUAUGGCGCUGGAGUAGCGGAGUGAGUAUCCUGUUUAAGCCACUGUGCUGUUGCCCUAGGUACCUGGGUCUUACACGGUUUCAGUUUUCCUCUACCGGUUUCUCAACAAAUAAACUCAUGAUGUAGUUCCACACUUGGUGCCUGGUUCUUUCGUCUUUGUGGAGGAGCAGGAGAAUGCUGGAUACUUCUGUCCAGCCAUCUUGAAACCUCUGGUAACAAUGUUUUUGACCUGGAUCAAGUUUCUUGAAGACCAUGCUUUAUCCACACUGGGUUAUGAGGGUUCGCAUGACCCAAGAGACCUGUAAUGAUAAGGAUGAUGUAUCCAAGGAAACUGAUUCCCCCUCCCCCAAAGUCUAUCCCAUUCCUUCUGCCCUACCUUACCACCCAUGCUUUGGUCACGAGUGAGAGCCUGGCUUUGCAAUGGGGCAGAAAUGUGAAAAUCACCUCCAGGGCAAUUUUUCCCCCAAAAUAGAAUCUUAGAAAUGAACUUGCCAUCAAUAGCAUCCUUUCUCAUUUCACUUUAUGUGAGUUCAGUCUGGUGGAGAUCUGGGGCACUUGGCCCAGGAUGGAGUUCCAGGGUCUGUUGCUGACUUUGUGUUGCAGUGGGGAUGUCUCCUAGUUUGUAUGGAAUAAAGAGGGAUCAAGAGUUUGUCCACAGAUAACAGUAAAUGAGGCGCCAAAAAACAAGAUGCAAAGAACGAGCUAGACAUGAAACAUCGAGGUAAGAAGCAGAGGGGUGAAGACCGAAGCGCUGGCCUGAGGCAGCCACGGACCCAGCAGAGCAGUGCUGGACCAGAGGCUCUUUUGGGAAUGGAAGUCCAACUUCACCCUUUUCAUGGAGAUCCUUAUAUGCACGCUUGCAAGGUUUCUGGUGAACAGAGGGUACUUCUGCAAGAAUCCUGCCAAUUGGGAAACACAACUCUGGCGUUUUUCAUCUUUCUUCUAAAUGACCUGCGGCUAAUUCCUUCUCAACUCCCACCUCACAUAACAGCUCUUUGCCUCUUUUUUCUCCCUCUUGAUGCAGAACAGAGAUGGUUUGCCUCCUAGUCUGGGCUGAUUUUCAACUGAUUUUGAGGUCAGUGUUCCCGGUACAUCAAAACAAGCAAAUGGCUUCCUGUGUCUCCCCUCCUCCUUAGAAUGGGCCAUCCUCCAUGGAAAGCUUGCCAGGCCACUCCAGGUGUCCAGUGACAGGCAUGUAGGCAGCAUCCUCAACAUGAAAGCUGGUAGACAGCCAUUUGAAGGCAGGGGUUAUGCUGGAGAGGGAAAGGGGAGGAGAAGCAUGUUCUCAGCUCAUGUUGAUUUCUGUCAGACUUCAGCUGAGGUUUGUGAAGAGAUAAUUGUGUUAUAUUUUCUCAUCCUUCACAGCCUGGUGGUUCCUGUAUAAUUAUACACGCCCGAGCUUAAUAUUAUUUCAGAAAGAGGAAAAGAUACAGCAGAUUUUUAGCCUCAGGGUUCUUAUGAUUGGGGACAGAUUUUACUCUCACAAAUUUCAUUCUUUUUUCGCCCCCCUUGCAAAGAGUAAUUGUAGGGAUGUGGCUCACAUGGGGAGCCAGCCAUUGGGGCUAUUUUUGGAGCAUAGAGGAAGAGUUGCCAGGCUAAGGGAGCAUAUAUCAUUUAGGACCCGAUGACACACAGAAGUGGCCCUCCUGUGUUUUAGAUGGCAGCCUGGGAAAUGAUGAAUCUCUCUGCCUCCUGCCUCUGGCACCAGAAGGUAACGGGGUUUAGCUUGUGAUAAAAAUCAUAUUUGAAAAAGUUCCCUGUCUUUCUGAUAAGCAAGUUUUAAAAAUUUAGGGGUAUUUCUGAAUGUCAUUUAAUUUUCUCCAUUUACAUUAUUAAUGUGUUUAAAUAUUAUUCAGUUAUAUUUAUUAUGCUGUACUGAAUUAGUAUGUUCUUUAUUGACACACUGCCUAGAGUGGAAAACAAAAAGCCAAACCUCAAACUAAGUGAAAUUUUCAUAUUGAUAUUACAUCAUUAUCCUUAUUGAACCAGAAAAAAAGAAAACUGGAGCAAUUAGGAAAAAAAACACAGUCAAAAUGUUUUUAUUAACAUCCUUAGUACAUGUAUUCAGGAAUGCCAAUAAAAAUUUCAAUGCAACCUGGUGAUAGAAUAAAUUACAUGCAUAAUAUAAUUAUUUCAAGUUAAUUAAACUAUUAUUAUGAUAUGCAUUUCAUGAGGCAGCACCCCAUGCUCCUCACUGAUUUCUCUACUUUCGGGCUUCAGACUCACUGUGAAUGACUUCAGUAAACAGCAUGGGUACGGCCUCCUUUUAGAAGUUUCUGUGGUCAGCUGUCGGUUAGAGCCUUAGAUAUCUCCACCAAAACGUCACUAAGAGUCAAAAUCUGGUAGACGACAGUGAACUGCCCAGGAAGCCCACUAUUCCAUGGUGCUGGGCUCAACUGUGGCAAGACGGCCAGGCGUGUACCAAACUCACUAGUAUAGGCGUGUACCAAACUCACUAGUAUGGAUGCUGGCUAUGAGCUCACACUCUGAAGCCCGGCUCCCUGGUUUCAAACCAUGGCUUCCUAGUAACUGUCAACAAGUUGUUUAACCUCUCUAUGCACUGAUUCCCGUGUGUGUGUGUGUGUGUGUGUGUGUGUGUGUGUGUGUGUGUGUGUGCAAGUGCCUGUGUGUGUGUGUGUGUGUGUGUGUGUGUGUGUGUGUGUGUGCAUGUGUGUCCUGCAGGGUUGCUGGAAGACUUAUAUGUGAUAUCACAAGAGGGUGUUAGGCGUUGUCUCUGCAUCCCCAUUGGUACUGUUUUGAGCGAUGUUUGGCAUAGAGUCCUCAUGAUGCAGUUGCCUGCUAGUACCGCUAUCUUCAUGCUGUUUGGCACAGAGCACAUUCUCAAGGAAUAGUAGCAACUAUGUUUACACUCCCUUGGGUGUCCACAAAGCAGAACGUCCUUACUUCCUAGUCUACUGAGGAGUGGGGAUCUUAUUCCUCUGCCAUUUAUGUUCACCCCGAGUCCUAGCCUUCUGUUCAGCCUGUUUGCAAGGCCAAUAAAUGCCUCUCUCACACCUCUUCUCUUCCAGGUUACUGCCUCCACAAUUAGGUUUGGAAACUUAAAAACAGUGUGGCCUCGAAACUGCUAUUCCCCUGCCUGGUGGUGGUGGGGCAUACCACCCUGGAGGCAGAGACAGGAGGAUCUCUGUGAGUUCCAGGCCAACACAGUCUACAAAGCUCUGGGAAUCACACUCGGGGUCAUCAAGUUUGACAAUAAGUACCCUCGUGCACCAAGUCAUCUCACUGGCCCUCAAGACAUGUUUUAAAGGGUAAUUAAUUAUUUCUCAGAGCUUGUACCAUGUUCUCAGUCAUGAAUCUACCCUGUGUGUGAGUAAGAUUGAAUGCAGAAAACAUGGUUUUCAGGAUGUGACGGAUCCCAUGUAGGAGUGCAUAGUGUAAUAGAACGGAUAUUUUAGAGUGUGACUUGUGGAAGGUUAAGGAGACAUAAACAAGGGCCGAGUUUAUUCUUUUCCUUCUCGAGGUGGUCAAAAGGGAAGGAUUUCCAGGGGUGUUUCCCAGCCAGUGACCAUGUGAGCAAGGUCUUGAAGGAGACACACAAAUAUCAGUAGCUGGGGAGUGACCUGGAGGUGACAUGGCCAAAGGUAGAGAAAGACUGAAAGCAUUUGAAAUGCUCUGGGGACUGGACAAGAAAGGUGCUUAGGUAAACUGACUGGCUAUCAUACACCAGGAGCUGGUUCACAAAACUGAUAUAAAGCUUAGUUUCCUAAAACAAUAUAUUCCCGGUCUUCUGCAAGGCAUGGAGACUGGUAGCAGCUGGAAAGUCGUGUCCAUCCAGGUCAGCCUCGAAGGAAGCUUGUUAUAACAGACCAGUGUGCUGUGCAGCAGGGAACAUGGGUAUUUCCUUCUUGAGAAGAACUGAGAAGACAGGACAGAUGCAGAUGGGGAUGAGAAGGAAUCUGAUGGAGGAAUGUACCUAUGUGUGUGAACAGACAGGUGUGAUCAUCCUGUGGAAGGAAAAGGGGGCGGGGCUGAGAGAGCAGGGUGCUUAGAGUCCUGAACAGAAGCCAUGGAAGAUGACCGUGGAGGUCUACUUAUUGUCAAGGGAGACUUGGCAGCUGGCAUGAGAAGUCUAGGUCAGGGAUGAGAAACUAGGGAGGACUGUCCUCGCAUUGUAACCACUCAUCAUGUGGAUGAAUGGCUUCCCAGCAUGCGUCCUAGUGUGAACUACGCUAGGCACUGUGUCCAGCACUCCGGACCCAGAGAAAAACAGAAACAGUCUCCCUCCAGGAACUUGUGGCUGAAUAAGAUGGAAACUUGUGAACAGCUCCAUGUGCGUAAGUGCUACAGCCAGGAAGACAAAGGAGUAUGUGUGAGAAAUGUUAGGGGCUCUGAAGAAGAGGUGAAGCUUUGCUGCGUGGAGGGUGAGAGUGCCAGGAAGAUUUCCCAAAAGCGCUUCUGCAGAAGUGUCUGAGGUGAAUGGCCAGGCACUGGGGGAGGGGCACAAAAGAGCAGCAAAACAGUAACAAUUAGGGGAGCUCUGGAGGUACCCCAACACUUAGCAGCUUUUCUAUGUUUGAUUCUUUCUUUCUUUUUAAAGAAGAGUUACAGAGAAGGAAAGGAGAAGUGUAAGUGGAGAAUCACACCACCAUUUAUUUCUGCUCCAGUGCGAGGUCUGAGCACGGUGUGUGGGUGGAAGAAAGGGAGGGGGACUGCUAGCCAUGGUGGCGCAAAGAGCCACUAAAGUCAAAGCUCCACGAACAGGAACCAGAGCAGGGAGAGCCUGGGAUGCGGUGGGGGUGCAGACAGACAAGGCCGGAACGAACGGGUAGGGAGAGGACCCAUUCUGAAGAUCAAAGAACUAUGAUAGUAAAGUGUGGGAAGAGACACUUUCCAACUGCCAGAGCAUCUCCAGAGGGCUGAAGUGACCCCAGCCUCUUGGGCUUGGAAAAAUCUCUGCACAGAGCAAGUGUCUGGGAAGAGAAGCAGCCUCCCUAGAUGUUGCCUGGAUGUAGCUCUGGGACCUUGGGAAUUCCCUCCACGUACAACUUAUAAAGCGCUCAGACUUUUACAGGAAGCUGCCCAAACACUACAGACUACAUGAUUUCAUUCCUCCCAUGUUGACUUGUUGAAGCCUAAAACACACAGGAUGGAAUUUGGAGGUGGGGACUUCAGAGGACAUUGAGUCAUGACAGUGGUACCUCCAGACAAAAGAGAUUGGUGUUCCUAUCGAAAGUCCCUAGAGAUGCCCCUCAGACCUUUGGAGACACAUCAGAACAUGGCCAUCUAUGAGCCAGGAAGUGGUCCUUCACUAGUCACCCACAAGCCAACACCUGAACCCUGGACUUCCCACAUUCCAGAUCUGUGGGUAUAACUUGACGUUGUUGUUAAGCCAUCUUGUGUAUGGGGUUUUGUUGUUGUAACCCAAGCAGGCUGAAUGCUCUUUGUGCAGCGUUGUAGGGAAUGUGAGGCCUGACAUGCUGGAUAAUACAGCCCCACGCAGGUCUUCACCAUCCUGUCCUUGAACACCAUUUGCAUGCUGCUCCAUGUGACCGUUUACUGUCUCAGAAACUCAAGUCACAGGAUUGUCACUGUUCCAACUGUCCUUGCUUUACAAUCGACCAGCCUAUAAUUUGGUGGCUUUGUUUUUUUUUUUUGCUCACAGAUUCUGUGAAUUUGGAGUUUGAAUAGGCCAUGACAGGGGGAGUUUUUGUGGUCCAUAAUUUCAGUUGCUUCAGCUGGAAAGGCAGGAAGGCUGGAGGUGAUAGGAAUAAUCUACCUGCCACUUUAUGCCGACUCUAAGGCUAACUGGCCUCAGAUAAGGCUGCUGACUGGAUCUCCUGGAAACAACUCAUUCAUGUGGCUUAGGCUAGCUCCCAGGACAGCAGUGUAGACAUCUCUCGGGGUAACUGAGCUUUUCUCUGCUGCCAUCUGUUUAGGAAUGUAUAAAACCAUAGAAGAGAUAUGAGGAUGGUAACAAAUUGAGAGGGUAUUUUUCUCUUAAACACUUAAACUAUAUUAAUAUAUAGGUGCUUCUCUUGCUGCUUAUGUGAUAGGCACAAACCCCGGAUGUACAGAGUAUGGAGGAAAAAGAAGAGGUGUAGGGAAUCCUCACACUGGUCAUGGAAGGAAGAAGCAGAAUCUUAAGAGGAAUUGAGCUUAAUUCAGCACUAUAGUCUGCAGACUUAGUGAUGCACACAUGUACUGUCAUUGCUUAUUCUUGCAUCCCCUGCACAGUUCAUUAGGGAGAGGGGCCAGGAGGCCAGGAAGUCUUGCCCUCAUUCUGAAGUGUUCUGUGCUUUGCAACCCUCCCAGUUCUCCUAAAUGGCAAUGAAGGGAGAGGUGACUGAGCCAGGGUUAUCCCUUCAAGGCCACAAUGAUUCUGUCCGUCAACCUGUUCCUAAAUAGAAUACCAGCGGAUUCUUUCUCACAGGCUUUCACGGGAUGCUGGCCUUGCCUCGGCACACAGACUUGUCUGGGCCCGACUUCCUGAGGCAGGAAGGUGGUUCUAUUUUUUGUUUCCUCUCACAGCAGUGAGGAAGCAAACACUCUUAGGGCAGGAAGUCUGAGCAGGAAUUUGUCGACAAAAGCUUUUUUGUAGGUUUGAGGAAAAGGUGUCUUACAAAUUUCCUCUGACAGCUGGCUGACCAUUUCCCUGGAAAUACACAGGAUGUCUGACUUCCAAUGCCGUGGGAACAUUCACUGUGGACAAGCACCCAAUUUUAGAAUAGCAAUAUUUGUGAUCUAAGAAUUGAGAUGGGGGUGGGGUGUAAGGAUAGAGAGAAAUCUAGAACUCUGGGUUUGUUGUGAAUAUACUGGGCUGUACUGGUGAGCAACUGAUCAGCUCUUCUACGCUAAUGUGUUCAAGUUUCUUUUAAAAAGAAAAAUUACCCUGGAGAGAUGACUCAGUGGUUAAGAGUACUUGCUGCUCUUGCAGAGGACCUAAAUUUGGUUUACCUAUGUGGUGGUUUAUAACCACCUAUAACUCCAGCUUCAGGGAAUCCAAUGCCAUCUUCUGACUUCCAUGAACACCAGGCAUGUAUGUGGUACACAUGCAUACAUAUGCAAAGACACUUAUACACAUGAAAUAAAAAUGUCUUUAAGGAAAAAGAGACAAAACAAAUUUCUCAGCCCAAGACUGCUCAAUGGACUCUCUAGUUUUGUUCUUCUGUCUGACUGCAGUUUUGGCUUCCUAAAGAGUUCAAAGGAAAUACAGAAAAGAAAACAAACACCCGACUAAGGAGAGGAAAGGGAAGAAAUGAAAGGCUGGGAACACAAGGACUUUGAGCCCCUAAGAACUGAGGAUAUGCUCUAAUGCUGCAAGAACAGACAACACUUCCCUUCCUGUUUUUUCUUGCGCCUACUCAAAGCAGCAAUCUUGACUUUGAGGAAAAGAAAGUUAUGUAAUAUGGCUCACCAAGUCAACAGGAGUAUGCAUGGCAUUGCAUCCGGUGUACAGGACAAAGAAAGACAUUAUUAGGAACUACAAAGCGUUUUGGAAAGAUGUGAUGGAAGGUCUUCCAAAUAACACCAGCCUUUGAAUGGCUGCUCUCCUCACCUCGGUCAAAGCCAAGAAGUAAAUUCCUUUACGGCAAUCAUAGCAGGAGUUGUGUACACCCGUGCUUGCUGAGGUCACUUAUGAAGUGUGCCCAGUCUUUCCAUCUGUCCUUCCCAUGAGUGGAACUAUGGUGACCAACACAUAGAAUUGAUAGACGGGUUCAACUUGAAAGAUACUGCACAGAGAGAGCCUGGGAGCUCUGCAAUAGGUUGCUUGGUUCAGUCCUGGGAAGUCAUUAGUCACCUCAGACUGGUGUGGCUCAAGUGAGGAAGAGGGAAGCCUGUCUUAGGGAGUCAGGAAGCAGGACCAAGGGGCGUGGCAACCGUGGCAAAUGGUUUAGUUCAUCCACAGUACAGUUCUUUUUUUCACCUUUUUCAAUUAAGAAAUUCUACUGGGCUGGAGAGAUGGCUCAGCAGUUAAGAGUACUUACUGCUCUUGUGGAAGACCCAAGUUCAGUUCCCAGGACCCCUGUCAGGCAGUUCACAGCCACCUGUAACUCCACCUUCAGGGGGAUAUGAUGCCUCUGGUGUCUGUGGGUAUCUGCUCUCAAAUGCACAUACCCACACACAGAUACAUGUACAUACACAUAUUUAAAAAUAACUUUAAAAGUCUUCAGAAAAAAAAUCAUCCUAGGAGAAAGAAUUACUAUCCUUACUGUUUCCUGACGCAUGUAAUUGGAGCCUACAAAAUAUCCUAUAAACACAGGCAUUACCCCUCCAGAGCCCAGUAGUUAUUUAGUUAAGAGAUCCUCUCAAAUAACUCAGUACAACAGAAUUUCCCUCUAGGUGUCAUUGUGCAUGCAUGUGUUUCUGGGGGUGCAACCUGGGCCCCGAACAGGCUAGACAGGCACUCUACCACUGAACUACACACUUAGCCCCCACAAAAUAGGUAUAGUCCAGAUUGGUCUUGAACUUGAGACCCUUCUGACUGAGCCUCUUUAGCAUCUUCCUUUUGGAGGGCAGCAAAGCGGCUGGCUUGUCCCUGUGGAUUUGAGCACAUCAUUGGUGCCUUACUACUUCAAAACAAGUUACCUCAUUUUAUGUGUGUGUGUAUAUCAACAUGGAAAGUGAAUAGGAAUCACUGUAAGUACAUGUUGCUUUGUAUAAUGACAAAAUGUCAAGGGUAAGAACUGCUUCACUGUGAAGCUCUGUUAACAUAUCCAAUGUCAUUCAUCUUUAGAUUUUCUCUAACCCUCAUUUCUGGAUUUUUAUUCAUGAGAAAAAUAUAAGUAGUUAAGAUAAAGAAAUAUGACUCAGUAAAACAAAAGCGGACUCAUAGGUCAAAAGGCUUGGGUUCUGGUGCCUUGUGGUUUUCCUAACAGCCUGGGUGUCUAUGGGCUACUCCCUUUUCAUUUUACAACAAGAAAGAUUGGUCAGAUCAGUUUAAGGACUGUACCAUUUGCCUGAUUUUCUGAAUGAGAUAGGCAUUUUCAAACUUUGUCUUCUCCCUUCCGGGCCCCUAGAAUGUGCUGGCAAUUCCCAUGGUUGUUUUUCAACUGAAUUCAACAACAAGCUGAAGUCUUUGGAUUGAUUUUGUUCCCAGAAUGUUGGUGAAGAAUUAUAAGCACUAUAUUGUCCUAUGCUCUGGGUCUUAAUGAUCCAGGAGCCUAAAUUUCAGGGUUUUGUUUCUGGACACCAUUAGGUCUGCUGUAUGUUAAUAAAUAAACAUCGUCAAAUCUCCUAAGCAUAUUACCCUGCAAAAAUGAAAUAUGGCAGAAUCCUAAAUCUGAUACCUCGGAGAUCUGUCUUAGACCUAUACGGCAUUGGUAAGUCAGUUCCAGUGACUCUGAAUUGAGGCAGAAUAAAGAGUUGCUGGCCAGGAGUCAGCCAUCCCAAGCAUCUCACUGUGCUCUAGUAAGUUUCUAUUUCGGAACAUGACCAACUGUUUGCACAGUGAGCCUCCCUUGUGAGAAUUGGCUCUGUGUGACUUUUAGGGGCUCCUACUGCUCACUCAACUAAGGGAGCUGAUGUUUGUUAGGUACCUACACUGUAGCAGACACUGUUGAAUAUCUUGUAUGUGGUACCUCUUGGUUCACUAAAAUUCCUUUAGAGUAUUUGGAUCUCCAGUGUCUUCUGGAGAAUGUAGCCAUGUGAAUUUGAAUCUACUUCUGAUCAUCACAUAGCACAGGGUUGUCUCAUCUCAAUCAUUCACUAUGCCCGAAUAUAUAUCCUUGAUUUCCCACUGGUAACUUUGAUUGUUCCAAAGGAUUCAUUUAUUCUGUAAGCAAUAAUUCUAAUGCUGACCUUUCCUUAGUCUAUUGCCUCAAUCUGGGUGUAAUGUAGCCAGCUUCAUGGAGUCUUUUGAGAUUUACUCCAAGUUUGUGUAUCCUAGUACUCAAAACAUACAUAUUGAAUUUAACUCAUGUCAUUUGGUUAAAAUAUAGGGUUUAAAAGAAAUUGGCAUUUAAGAAGUGUGGUAAAUAUGUGUACUAUGGAGAAUUGUCUUAUGUGAGGGUUGUUAUAGCAAUGCAUUUGGACAUAUUUGGGACUCAUUAUAAAGAGAGAGGCAAGACAUUCUAAGAAAGGUGCCCAAAGAGUGAACUAAUAACAAAAUAUCCUGGCCUUUCUGAUGUUACAACACUGUGAUUGGUGGAUGAAACAGAUGAGUGCCAUUCAAUGAAGAUCUGGCUAGUUUUAGGUUUUAGUGAUGCAUUAAAGAUGGCUAAUUUCAGAAACGGAUGUGUUAUUGGUAAUCUUCUGUUACUAGUAAUUCCUAAGGAUGUCUGUACCAACAUGACACCACUCUAAGUGUUGGGUGGCAGUGCCCCAUCUCGCCUUUACAUAUACCAGGCUUACUGGAAAACUACGAUCUGUUGCUCUUCACACGUGUUAGAAGCACGGUAGUCAAACAUGGACACAGUCUAACAUACAUCCACGCUAGCUCUAUUUCUGUUUCUAGUGAGGCACAUCAGAUAUGUACCUGGGAUUUACAUGCCCUGUCUGAAGUUUGUAGUGAUUGGCUCAGAAGGGCUCUCAAUUCACUGCUGCUUUUAGGAAUACCUGAAAACAACUGAGCAAUUUGAACUGUGAUCUGCAUAAGAUGUUCAGGUUAAUUCUCCAAGUGGGACAAGAAUAAUAGAAAAUUCUGUGUGAGUGCCUGUGAGAAGACAUCACUACGUCUAAAGGGAUAUGGCUUCUAAUUUGACUCUUGCCUGCCCUUUUGACAUUUAGAGUGAAACCUCUCUGUGACCUGUCAGUGUGAUUUGGCUUUGUAUAAAGGGAUCCAGCGUCACCUUCUGAGGACACAAACCAAUCAUUAUUCUCCGUGGACCCCAAGCGUUAUUACCUCCAGAGUGUCCAUUUUCCCACAGCCAAAGCCCCUCUGCGUGCUUCCUGGAACGGGCUUUUCACUGGUACCGCCGGUUUCCAUAGCUUCCCUCCUCACCCAGAAAAUCCCCAGGACUGUAGAGUUAGCAGGGCAGUGCCCAAGUGUCAACGCCAAAAGAGAUUUUCAAGAGUUUAGCUCAGCCUGCUAAGUACAGAUUACAUCAUCAGGAUUUUCAUCAUAAUAAAUUUUAAUUUCCUUUUUCUUUCCAAGGAGAGAGAGAGAGAGAGAGAGAGAGAGAGAGAGAGAGAGAGAGAGAGAGACUUAAACAUGUGAGAAGGAGACAUUCACUCAGAAAUAGAGUCAAGUCCAGUGUUUGUACAUUGUGUAUGAAGCAGUUUUCCCAAGGAAGGGCACAUUAAAGAUUUCUGAAUGGAGAGGGAAGGAGGGCUGCCAGGCCCUUAAGGGAUGUCCGAGGGUGAAAGCUGCAUGUAAAGGUCAUUGGGAAAGACCUGCAUUCUCCUUAGUUUCUUGCAAACAAAUUAGGUGUGGAAAGGGGCCUGUCCCUGUGCCUGAGUGCUCAGACCCAAACAGCUCCUUUGCUCAAUGAUAGUUCUUGGCGAGUGUGUUUCCUUAUAUUUCAAGAUUAGCUUAAGUAAUGAAAGCAGUUAACUUCAUUUUUCAAAUGACCUAAGUUUGUAAUGAAGUUUAAAAAAAUUGUCCAAAUAAAUAUACAGAAAUAGAGUGACACCCAAUCUUCAGGAUCCUUGGAGAGUUAUGACUCUGGAUAUAGACAAACAGCACUUGCUGUGCCAAAACCAGCUUCCAAGUAAACUGAAUGUUUUAACUGGUAAAGGAGAUUCAUAUGGCAAGAUUUUUAUAUACUAUAAAAGACUGCCCACCAAAAAGAAAAAUUUCCAAGACCUUCAUAAAAGUCAUCCAAACAGAUCCUGUCAUUAGUUUGCUGUCUGUCUGUCUAGAGAGAAGGAGAGGAUCCUUCAGGUAAGAGGCUGUGUGUCAGCACACCCCACCCUUCUCUUUUCUAACCUUCAAAUGACUUCUCUGCUUCUUUCUGCCUGUAACAUUGCUUCGGUGCCAAUAAUUUAUUUAUUGGGCUUUCCCCUGUUUGUGCACAUUUAAAGUUUUCCCAGGCAUUUACUCUAACUUUCCAAGAAAUAUGUUCCUUUUAAGAAUAACCAUGGGCACAUUAUUUAACCUGUUUCUUUUCCCCUAUUUGUUAACUGGAGACAGUAACCCUGUUUAUCUGUGCCAAAUGUUUUCUUUAAAAAAAAAUGAGGUUUUUAUUUAUUCUUUGAUAAUUCCAUGUAAAUAUAUUUUGAUUUUAUUUUUCCUCUCCCCAAAGUCUUUCCAAACAAUCCCUCACCUUCCUACCUACCCAAAAACAUAUUCCCUUUAAAAACAACAGUAACAAAAAUAUGAAAACGUGGAGUUCAGUUUAUGUUGACCGACUACUCUCUGGCAUGGCGCCUGCCCUGUGGCUGAUGUACUCAGUGUCACUCGAUUGGAGAAAACUGACUCUCCCUCACCCAGCAGUGGUCAAAUGCCAAUAGCUGUUUAGCUAAGAGUAGAACUUCCUUAGGGUGGGACUUUCUGCCUAUCUCCCCAGCUCCAGUUUGGAUUUUGUAUGGCUUGAGCUUCUGCAGCUCUUGUGCUGUCUGUCAGAGUGUGCUGGCUUGUUUUAUGUCAACCUGACACAGGCUAGAGUCAUUUGAGAGAAGCAAAUUUCAACUGAGAAAAUGUCUCCAUAAGAUCAGGCUGUGGGCAGGUCCAUAGGGCAUUUCCUUAACCAGUGAUUGAUGGGGGAAAGCCCACUGUAUUGUGGGUGGUACCACUCCUGGGUUGGUGUCUUGGUUUCUAUAAGAACGUAGGCUGAGCAAGCCGUGAGGAACAGGCCAGGAAGCAGCACCCCCCCCCCCCACAUGGCCUCUGCAUCAGCUCCUGCCUCCAUGUACAUUCCUGCCCUGUUUGAGUUCCUGCCUUGGCUUCUCUCAAUGAGCUGUGACAUGCAAGCCAAAUAAACUUUUUUCUCCACGAGUUGUUUUGGUCACAGUGUUUUAUCAUAGCAAUAGAAACCCUAAGACACAUAGUCUCUGUGAGUUUCUAUGCACAUCUGUCCCGUUGUAUCUGGAAAAUGCUGUCAUUGAAGUUAUCUACAACCUCUGGCUCUUCCAUUCUUUCUGUUCCAUCUUUUACCCAGAUCUCUGAGCCUUGAGGGGAAAGGCACUAUAUAGACAUUCCAUUGAGGGAUGAGCAUUCUCAAGUAUCUUAUUCUCUGUUCGUUGACUAGUUGCAGUUUUCUUUUUCAAUUGCCAUCUAGGGCAAGAAGGAGCUUCUACGUUGAGAGUUUAGCAAUGCACGAAUCUAUGGAUAUAGCAAUGUGCCAUUAGGAGUUACUUUUAUUACUGUGUUCAUUAAGCAGAAUAAUUGUAGUGGCUUUUCCAUAGGGCCCAUUAUUUAUCAAACCUCAGGUUCUAGACUUCAUUGGAGUCAGGUAUGGGUUCCACUUCAUGGAGUGGGCCUUAAAUCCAACCAAAAGGUUGUUGGCUACUCCCAUAACAUUCAUGUCUCUAUUGCACCAGUGGGCAGAUAUUUUGCCAGGCAGGUUGCUGUUCACACAGGAUUCAUAUCUGGGUGAAAUUGAUGAUUUUCUCUUCUGUUACUGAAUUUAGCAUUUUCUAGCACAUUUUCUAGCUAGUAAGGAUGAAGGUGAGUACCAGCUGAGUACCAGAUUUCUCCAUGUUCUAUGGAGUCUAUGGCAUAUGUAUGUGGAGUCUUACCAUCAAGUUGUGGAGGGUAACCAAUGACAUUGGCAAUAGCCUGUAAUGUUAGGGGCCUCAUUGGCCCAAAUCUCAAAACGUUGCCACCCAUUCCUGGUACCAGGGUUUUAUCUGCUAUCAUAUGGUGUGUAGUUGGGAUAUUAUUCCUCCAUUAUAGGGUAACUCCAUAUAAAUUCCUUUUAUCUAUGGCAAACACUUUUAAUUGACUGGCUAGUAACUCUGCACUUCUUUUAAGUUUUAGAGAUUUAUCUUUGACUUUGUGAACAUAUAACAUGUUCAAAUGGAUUGAACCCCUGCCCUAAUUGUUUAAGAUUUUUAAAAAAGUUUGUGUUUUUGGUUUCUCACCAGUACUAAGUGUUAGGACACUAUUGCUGAUGAUACCACAUGCUUUGCUUUUUGGGCAGAGAAAAGACAAGCUGGAACUGCACUGGAAGCUUCCUUCAAGAUAUGUCCAUUGAUGCAAUAGUAACAAGAAUGUUACAUGGGUAACCAACCCCUUUCCAUGGGAGAGAAUUCACGCCCUGGUACUGUAAACCUGGUCAAAAUCCUGUGGCUGAGGAAGGCAUUGGCUCUAGUACAGAAGAUACUACUGUUGUUUUGGUAAAUAGACAUGCGUGCCUGUCAAGUUGCCUUCUAAGUGUUUCUGUUUUAUUCCUGUGGAUGAAUCCUCCUGCCAUCUUCUAUGAUCAGAGAAGCUUCUUUUUGCGGUGGGAGGCAGCGAAUACAGACUCUUAAGUGGUCAAAGUGCUGAGAAUAAUUGACUGUUGAGUGCACAGCCAUAAAGAGGACAUGCACAUCAACUAACUUCUCGAAGGUCCAGGAAACACGGUAACUUUUGAUUUUUGUGAUCAUUUAAAAAAAUCAGUAGGUUCUUGUAAGACCUCGUCUGCUCCAUUUGUAAACAAUAAAAAUAAAACGGACACCAUAAAUACUUUGAUUGUGUGUA